rnacentral:sRNA from 1 species
GGGAGCUUGUUAAAAAUUUGAUGUUACUUUGAGGCAGCGACUUCCAAAGCAGUUGAAGAUGGUGAUGAUGAUGAAGAUGACGAUGUUAAUGUGUGGCGCACUGCUUGCUGCUCAGCUGUUGGUGAUGGUGGUUGUUGUUGUUAGUUAUCUUGAAAUUGGCUUAUAUUAAACAAACAGAAGUGGAGAAAACGUUGAAAUGCAACUGGAAAUGCCCCCAAAUAAAAGAAGAAAUUAUGACGCACAGCAACAAAAAGACAACGGCAACGAGGAUGACGCGUCGGCGACAGCGACAAUGGGUCAAUAAACAAUAAUAAUUACGACAACAAAGAGAUUAUGAUGAUGGUGAUAACAACAACAAGCAGUAGGAAAAUGUCAUAGAAUGUUGCUAUUGUUGUUGGAAUUAAACAAAAUGUUUGUGCACAGUUAUGGAAUAGGGACGAAGACGACUAUGGUGUCAAAGGUAUUUGAUUUGAUGCUGCUACUACUGUUAUGUUUUUCACUUUUGGCGGGCGGUGGUCAUUGGUUCAUUGUUGUUACAUUAAUUUGCAUUAGUUGUUAUUUUGUUUUGAUUUCAGAAGAAAAAUUAUUAAUAUUUACACAUUUAACAAAACAAAUUAUGCCACUGCUUUCGUUAGGUUUUUUGUUAUAUUUUCUUUUUUCAAAAUUUUCACAAGCUCUUCAUCAGCAGCAUUUGCACUAUGAACUUUAAACUGAUUCCUUGUUUGGUUUGGUCUUCUACUUCUUUGUCGUUUUUCUCAACGAGAUUGGAUUGUUCAAUACCGCCAUACCAUACCAAUAAACAAUAUGUAUUAAUAAACUUGCUAUUGAUAUUUAAUCAUAACAUUGAUUAUUGUUCCUGCUGUUGUUGCCCUCUUCUUUGUUGCCUUUUCUUUUUCUGCACUGCAAAAGAAAGAUGACCACGAGCCCUUUGCUUUAUUUCCCGCUUAUCAUCAAUUGCAUUUUGCUUUUGCACAUUUAUAACUUAUGAAUUGUUGUGAUGUUAUUUACUUUUUUUUUUAAUUUCAUUAAGGAAUUUUCUUGCUGUUGAAUUGAAUGUUGAGAAAUGUCAACGUUUUCGUUUUGUUUUUUUUUUUUGUUACGUCUGGUUAAAUUUUCUAUUUUUUUUUUUAUUAUUUUUCUUGAAAUAUGAUGACUUGCUUAGGCGGCGUUUGCUUGGUUGUUGUUGGGUAAUCGGUUUCUUCUGCGCGUGUGUAUGUGUUGGUUUCUUUGUGUGUAUGUGUGUGUUGGUGUGGUUUUUCUUUUGCUUAAGGAGUUAAUUGCACUUGGGCCCUCUUCUU